rnacentral:lncRNA from 1 species
GCAGAACGUCAGCCGCUCCCUGCGCCGCAAGUACGCGCCUCCCCCCUGCGGCGGCCCCGAGGACGUGGCCCUGGCGCCCUGCACCGCCGCCGCCGCCUGCGAAGCGGGCCCCUCCCCGGUCUACGUCAAGGUCAAGAGCGCGGAGCCGGCUGACUGCGCCGAGGGGCCGGUGCAGUGCAAGAACGGCCUCUUGGUCUCCAGCCCACACUGUGAAGAGCCUUGUGCCCACAGCUGUGCACAUCCUGGGCUUCCUCCACACCUUGUCCAUAAACUGCCCCUCAGCUACCUUCAGACCCAGGAUACAGACGCAGCCUCCAGAAGAAUAAAUGCUCCAUUAGCAGCUGGCUGGAGCUGGCUGAGGCUCUGGCUGGUGACUCUGGCCUCUGGUGUAGACUUCCCUCAGGAGAACAGAUGCAAAAACUAUUGCUCAAGGAAAAUAAAGUGAAAACGAGGAAAAGCAAAAGAAGAUCUGGAGAGGGCUCUCACCUGACCACAAGCAUCCUGGAGCAAUGAGUUUCAGGCAGGAAGACUCAUCCUGAGCUGAGCUGCUUUUCUUGAAGUUGUGCAAGAACGUCCUGUUGGCUGGGGCAAAUUCAGUAUUUCUUUUCCUGGCCACUGUGCUGGAGCGUGAGGAAAGACUCUCCACCCUCACUCCCAGAUCCUGCAGGAGGCGUGAGAGCGGAUGGAGAUGCAAUGCCUUGGCCCUCAGGAAGCAUCAGAUCUCAAACUGCAGGGUCUGGGGCUGAAGCUGAUGCUGGCAUGGGUGACUCAGAGUUCCUCUAUUAGUUCAAAUAUGUAAUAUCUUUUAGAGCCUAGGACUCAGGCUGGAGGCAAUUCCUUGGUGCCAGUUGGUUAAUACUUUAUGAAUAGUGGUGGGGGAGGGAAUGCCUUGGACUAUUAAUGUCCCCAUGGAUCUGGAUCCUGGAGAACUUCCAGUGUCCUGGAUGGAAUGUUCUGCUUGGCUCAUCUUGCCCAGAGAAGAGCCAGGAUAUGAGAAGAUGGGAGAGGGAAGGGGGAGGUGUGAAACGUGCUGGUGCUUCCUGUCCUCGUGGUGUGAUGGCUGCCCAGGCUGCUCCUUCGAGGCAGGACAGGAUUCCCAUGGGAGAUAUGAGGACCAUGGUGAUUUCCAGGCACCAGUUAUGUCCCAGAGCAUCGUGUGCCUGUGCAGUGGGGUUACUGAUAGUCCAGGCAUCAGUUCAUAUUGUCCUUUAUGGCAGAUCCUGCACAAGGGGGUUCUCUGUCUCUGGACCCACUCUGUCAGCAUGGACAUCCUUUUUCUUUUUCCCUGGUAAGGACAUCAGAAAGAAAGUUACCCCUCCAGUGUUUGGAGUCUUGGAAUCCUUGGCCUGCCUGCAGGCCUCUGAAUCCUCAGUGUGUUAGCCCAAGGUCACCUUAGGUAAAGGAACAUUUCUCCUGGUCUUCCAACACCCUGGAAAGGGAGGCUCUUCAAGAAUAGGAAAUUCUUCCUAGUAUCUAACCUUGGCCUGCAACUAUGCCAUACAUUUAAUUGUAGAAGGUAUGGAAAGUUAGGACUGUGGUGGACCCAGUUAAAUCACUGGACAGAAGCCAUGAGGCAGAGCCAGAACCAGCUUCUGGACUCCCUGCAUGGAGCUUUCUACUAUCCCAGGUUGUUGGGUCCCUUCUCAGUGGCCAAAGAUGCUAUUUUAUGAGCCUUGAGGACAUGACACUAAGUGAAAAAAGCCUGGCCAAAGGGCCACAUAGUGUAUAGUUCUAUUUAUAUGAAAUGUCCAGGAAAGACAAAAGCAUAGAGGCAGAAAGCAGACUAGUGCUGUGGGAGGAAUGGGGGAUUUGGGAGGUGAUGGCUAAGGGGUUAUGGGGUUUUGGGGGAGGUAAUAGAAAUGUUUUAAAAUUGGUUGUGAAGGUGGAUGCCCAACUCUGCGAAUACACUAAAAGGCAUCGAAUUGUAUACUUUAAAUAGGUG